rnacentral:lncRNA from 1 species
CAUUCCUCUAGAUAUUCUCUGGAGGAAUGAGAGCUGAGCUGGCUGGUGAAAGGUCUUUUUUGCUGUUGUUAAGACAGGGUCUUUUCUGAAUAGGCAUCAGAAGAAGCAGAUGCCUAUUCAGAAGACACCAAAUUUCUAAUUAACAUAAAAAUGUCACUGACUUAUUUGAAGUCUUAUCACACCUGUUCCUUUGCAGUCCUAUUAAAAUCCUGAAAGAAAGGAUACAUUGCUCUUAAAUCCAGCAUCUGUCCACUUGCACUCUUGAUUUUUGGGACAUCAUAAGGAUCUAAAGUUUAUCCUCAUAAAAUUUUAUCCUGCUAAUUUGGUACAUCUUUUUCAGGCCAUUGUGAUCUUUCUGAAUUUACCUUGGUUCUCUCUCUUUGAGUUACUGAUAGAUUAUUAAGUGCAUUAUUAUAAAUUAUUCAAUCAAGUAAAUGACAAAAAGCUGAAUGGGGGCACAGGUCAAUAGAACAUUCUGUUGCAAAACUUCAAAAGUCUUCCUUUCAGGUUAGAAUCAAUGUUCUAUGAAUAGUGAUUGCUUCACCAGAUACCAUCUAUGUAACUUUCCUUUAUCCAGUUCAUUUUUUUAGCUUGUUUUGUUUGCUCAUAAGAGGUUUUAUUUCAAAUGUCUUACUGAAAUUGAUGCAUUAUGUCAAAAUAAAAUAUUGUCCUUAUCUGUUAGUCUGGAGACAUUAUUUGAAAAAAGAAAAAGAAAAUCUGAGUUGUCAUAACUUUCUCUUCAUUAGCCUAUUUGUUCAUCAUGAUCACAAUUUUUGUUUCUGAUUACCACUUGAAACUUUGCUCUAAUAAUUUUUCUAUAAUUUUGCCAGUAUUACAAAACUUGUCAGUCUCAUUAUCAAAAUUGUAUUUUAAGAAAUGUAGGCUGGGCGUGGUGGUUCACAUCUGUAAUCCCAGCACUUUGGGAGGCUGAGGUGGGUGGAUCACUUGAGCCCAGGAGCUCGAGACCAGCCUGGGUAACAUGGUGAAACCCCAACUCCACUGAAAAAUACAAAAAUUAGCCAGGCAUGGUGGUGCGCCUAUAGUUCCAGCUACUCAGGAGGCUGAGGCAUGAGGACCACUUGAACCCAGGAGGUGGAGGCUGCAGUGAGCCAAGAUUGUGCCAUGGAACUCUAGCCUGGGUGACAGAGUGAGACUUGGUCUCAAAAAAAAAAAAAAAAAAAAGAGAAAGAAAAAGAAAAUAAAAAAAAAAGAAAGAAAUGUGGGCAACAUUCACCCAGCAUAUAGUAUACUUCUGUUCUGAACAUUUCUGCGUGUUUACUGAGAAUGGUUCCAGGAUCUCAUUAGCAGGUAUUUCUCCUUUUCCCUAGUCCUGGAGGGCCUCACUCCCUGGACCAGAGAUUAGCAGGAUUUUUGCUUCUUUGACUCAAGGGAGGAUUGGGUUACUGGGUGGAAAUGCAAAGCUGCUGCAAGGCCACCUCUCCAAUAGUCCUUAGUGAAAGCUCAAACACUGAAUCUUAUGGGGAAUGGGAGAGGAGGCUACCCAAGAAAGGGACCCCCCGAGAAUCCUUGAAGGAAAUAUUCCCCAAGACAGAAAAGACAUUGACAUUGCUUGUGGGAGAUGAGGGGAUGCUGGGAAGGUGAGAGAACUUUUUAGAAAAAUGGAAUGGACUAUAGGACCUGAAGAGGCUGGUUCAAAGAACUGAGCAGGCCACCUGCUUCCGAGAGACCACAGGAUCUUUAACCAUAUAGCUGCAGCCACUUGCUACCUUUCCCUUGCUUUCUGGGCACUAGGUAAUUCUCUUGAAUUUAUUUCCAAGUCUGGGCAGGGAUACGGACCCCAGCAACACUGCAGAAUUUCCUGCCAGGCUGACGGGAUGAAGGCU